rnacentral:rRNA from 1 species
UGCGAGUGAGCGGGAAAAGCUCAAAUUUAAAAUCUGGUGGUCUUUGGCCAUCCGAGUUGUAAUUUAGAGAAGCGUCUUCCGCGCUGGACCGUGCACAAGUCUCCUGGAAUGGAGCGUCAUAGAGGGUGAGAAUCCCGUCUUUGGCACGGACACGCCAGGGCUUUUGUGAUGCGCUCUCGAAGAGUCGAGUUGUUUGGGAAUGCAGCUCAAAAUGGGUGGUGAACUCCAUCUAAAGCUAAAUAUUGGCGAGAGACCGAUAGCGAACAAGUACCGUGAGGGAAAGAUGAAAAGCACUUUGGAAAGAGAGUGAAACAGUACGUGAAAUUGUUGAAAGGGAAACGCUUGAAGUCAGUCGCGUCGACCGAGACUCAGCCUCGCCUUGGCUUGGUGUAAUUCUCGGCUGACGGGUCAGCAUCAAUUUUGCCUCUUGGAUAAUGGCGAGGGAAAUGUGACACCUUUACGGUGUGUUAUAGUCUCUUGUCGCAUGCAAGGGUUGGGAUUGAGGAACUCAGCACGCGCCUUCGGGUGUCGGGGUUAUGCCCACGAUACGUGCUUAGGAUGUUGGCGUAAUGGCUUUAAACGACCCGUCUUGAAACACGGACCAAGGAGUCUAACAUGCGUGCGAGUGUUCGGGUGGAAAACCCGUGCGCGCAAUGAAAGUGAAAGUUGGGACCUCUGUCGUGGAGGGCACCGACGCCCGGACCAGACCUUCUGUGACGGCUCUGCGGUAAAGCAUGUAUGUUAGGACCCGAAAGAUGGUGAACUAUGCCUGAAUAGGGUGAAGCCAGAGGAAACUCUGGUGGAGGCUCGUAGCGAUUCUGACGUGCAAAUCGAUCGUCAAAUUUGGGUAUAGGGGCGAAAGACUAAUCGAACAUCUAGUAG